GACAGAGGGUGCAAACGUUGCUCGGAAUCACUGGGCGUAAAGGGCGUGUAGGCGGGACGGUAAGUCGGGCGUGAAAUCCCUAGGCUCAACCUAGGAACUGCACUCGAAACUACCAUUCUUGAGUGUCGGAGAGGAAAGCGGAAUUCCUGGUGUAGAGGUGAAAUUCGUAGAUAUCAGGAGGAACACCAGUGGCGAAGGCGGCUUUCUGGACGAUAACUGACGCUGAGACGCUAAAGCGUGGGGAGCAAACAGG
rnacentral:rRNA from 1 species